rnacentral:rRNA from 1 species
AAGUAGAAAAUAAAAGUAACAACUUAUAUAAUAACGGCGGCAUUUUAAUAUCAGAGGAACCUGUAUUAUAAUCGAUAAUCCACGAUAACAUUCACUUAUAAUCAAAAUUUAUAUACCGCCAUCUAAAGAGAUACUUUAAAAAUAAACCUCAAAAUAUUACUAUAAAAAGUUAGGUCAAGGUGUAGUCCACAUAUAAGAAAAUAUGGGUUACAUAUAUAAAAAAUUAUGAAAAAUUAAUGAAAACAAAUAAAAAUAGAAUUUGAUAGUAAAACCCAAAUAAUAAUUUUGUUUGAAUUAUAAAAAAAGUGC